CGUAUGUUGCAAGCGUUAUCCGGAAUUAUUGGGCUUAAAGGGCAUCUAGGCGGUAAGACAAGUUGAAGGUGAAAACCUGUGGCUCAACCAUAGGCUUGCCUACAAAACUGUUGAACUAGAGUACUGGAAAGGUGGGUGGAACUACACGAGUAGAGGUGAAAUUCGUAGAUAUGUGUAGGAAUGCCGAUGAUGAAGAUAACUCACUGGACAGAACUGACGCUGAAGUGCGAAAGCUAGGGGGAGCAAACAGGAUU
rnacentral:rRNA from 1 species